GACGGAAUUCCUUAGCUAGAGAGUGGGCUGACCAGGAGGAGACCCAGCUCAGAACGGAGUUCCUUCAACCUUUUCACCCAAGUAAAGAUGGAGGAGGAUGGACAAGUCCUCCAAGCAUGUCAUGGCCCAAAACCUCUCUUAAACACUCCACCUGCCGUUUCCAAGAAAUAUUCUGUUCUCUGAGAUUGCUGGAGCCCAGACCAUCAUCAAUGAUGCAAACCUGAAGUCAGAGCUAAGAAGGGCCCCGAUACACACACCAGUAGUGGUCUGUAAGACUCUCACCGGCUUGUUCUCACCGGCUUGAUCAAAACCCACUGCUUAUUACUGGCUCUUUUAUUUGUCUACGUUUGUAUGAAUACAGUUUGUUAAACUGUA